GUACUACUGAAGAGUCCCAAACUAGGAUGAAACAGCUGUCCAGUAC
rfam:Trichobilharzia regenti genome assembly, scaffold: TRE_scaffold0036474